rnacentral:rRNA from 1 species
UGGGGAAUUUUGGACAAUGGGCGAAAGCCUGAUCCAGCAAUGCCGCGUGUGUGAAGAAGGCCUUCGGGUUGUAAAGCACUUUUGUCCGGAAAGAAAUCCUUGGCUCUAAUACAGUCGGGGGAUGACGGUACCGGAAGAAUAAGCACCGGCUAACUACGUGCCAGCAGCCGCGGUAAUACGUAGGGUGCAAGCGUUAAUCGGAAUUACUGGGCGUAAAGCGUGCGCAGGCGGUUUGCUAAGACCGAUGUGAAAUCCCCGGGCUCAACCUGGGAACUGCAUUGGUGACUGGCAGGCUAGAGUAUGGCAGAGGGGGGUAGAAUUCCACGUGUAGCAGUGAAAUGCGUAGAGAUGUGGAGGAAUACCGAUGGCGAAGGCAGCCCCCUGGGCCAAUACUGACGCUCAUGCACGAAAGCGUGGGGAGCAAACAGGAUUAGAUACCCUGGUAGUCCACGCCCUAAACGAUGUCAACUAGUUGUUGGGGAUUCAUUCCUUAGUAACGUAGCUAACGCGUGAAGUUGACCGCCUGGGGAGUACGGUCGCAAGAUUAAAACUUAAAUGAAUUGACGGGGU